rnacentral:misc_RNA from 1 species
GGCGUCGAGGCCCUCCUUGCAGGUAUCCUGGUUGCCGAGUGCAGCACUGAGCCAGGAGCGGAGGUCGGAUCGGGCGUUGCCGGUGCCUUUAUUGACAGGUGCAGUUACGGAGCGGUUAUUGGUUGGGGAGGUGGAGAUGGACCAGGUGAGCUCGUCAGCUGAGAGGUCGAGGAGGUCGAGACAGUCAGAGAUAGCGGAGGUGAGGCGGAGAUCAUCGCCGAGGAUGCCGUUGAAUCUUGAGAUGAUUGAGACGACCCCCUCGAUCUCGUCGAUGGUGGAGCGGAGCGUGGAGAGGAAGGUUGAGGAGGCGGAGAAGCCGGUGGGGGAUGGGGACUUGGGGGAGGAGGGGAUGCACUCCGGCUGAAGCGCCGGGGAUGAAAGCGAUAGCGGCGGUGACAGGAUGAGGAUGAGAAGGAGAGACGCGAGAUGCAGAGCCAUGAGAGGCGGUAUCCUCG